rnacentral:rRNA from 1 species
UAAUAGCUCACUGGUCGAGUCGGCCUGCGCGGAAGAUGUAACGGGGCUAAACCAUGCACCGAAGCUGCGGCAGCGACGCUUAUGUGUUGUUGGGUAGGGGAGCGUUCUGUAAGCCGUUGAAGGUGUGCUGUGAGGCAUGCUGGAGGUAUCAGAAGUGCGAAUGUC